rnacentral:rRNA from 1 species
GCGGCAACAGCUCAAAUUUGAAAUCUGGCCCUCGGGUCCGAGUUGUAAUUUGUAGAGGAUGCUUUUGGUGCGGUGCCUUCCGAGUUCCCUGGAACGGGACGCCAUAGAGGGUGAGAGCCCCGUCUGGUUGGACACCAAGCCUCUGUAAAGCUCCUUCGACGAGUCGAGUAGUUUGGGAAUGCUGCUCUAAAUGGGAGGUAUAUGUCUUCUAAAGCUAAAUACCGGCCAGAGACCGAUAGCGCACAAGUAGAGUGAUCGAAAGAUGAAAAGCACUUUGAAAAGAGGGUUAAAUAGUACGUGAAAUUGUUGAAAGGGAAGCGCUUAUGACCAGACUUGAGCCCGGUUAAUCAUCCAGCCUUCUGGCUGGUGCACUUGGCCGGCUCAGGCCAGCAUCAGUUCGGCGCGGGGGAUAAAGGCUUCGGGAAUGUGGCUCCUCCGGGAGUGUUAUAGCCCGUUGUGUAAUACCCUGUACUGGACUGAGGUUCGCGCAUCUGCAAGGAUGCUGGCGUAAUGGUCAUCAGCGACCCGUCUUGAAACACGGACCAAGGAGUCGUCUUCGUAUGCGAGUGUUCGGGUGUCAAACCCCUACGCGUAAUGAAAGUGAACGCAGGUGAGAGCUUCGGCGCAUCAUCGACCGAUCCUGAUGUUCUCGGAUGGAUUUGAGUAAGAGCAUACGGAGCCGGACCCGAAAGAAGGUGAACUAUGCCUGUAUAGGGUGAAGCCAGAGGAAACUCUGGUGGAGGCUCGCAGCGGUUCUGACGUGCAAAUCGAUCGUCAAAUAUGGGCAU